GCGGGUAUGGUGGAAUUGGUAGACACACCAGAUUUAGGUUCUGGCGCCGAAAGGCGUGGGAGUUCAAGUCUCUCUACCCGCA
rnacentral:tRNA from 1 species